GCAGAGGCCCCGCCCUCCAUUCGGUCAGAGUUUCCCCCCACCUCUCUCAGGGCCAGAGUGUGCAAGCACGGUGGAGCUCUUGGAAGGAUCGAUGGACCGCCGUGACUUGAGAUGAGACAGGAUGGGCGAGGUUGGGCGAUUUUUCUAAAAUCUCAUAGAGCAGAGGGAAGAGUUGGAUUUCAAAUUUAGAAUAAUGUCUCCAUCUACAUUUAAAGAAGUUUUCCAGAAACCUGACAGAUGGAGUGAAUAUCCACUGCCAGAUUACAGUGCGUCUGUCUAAUGGAGGCCACCACCCAACUGGGUUCCAAACACGUGGACAGAGAAGCACACCUGUCGCACAUCAAAAGUCCCGGGCCGGGAUUCGAAUCAGAGUUGCCGCUGCCAGCCACAGCCGCAGUCACGGCAACACCAGAUCCAAGCUCAUCGGCGACCUGUGCAGCAGCUUGUGG